rnacentral:rRNA from 1 species
AUUGAACGCUGGCGGCAGGCCUAACACAUGCAAGUCGAGCGAGCGGCGGACGGGUGAGUAAUGUCUGGGAAACUGCCUGAUGGAGGGGGAUAACUUCUGGAAACGGUAGCUAAUACCGCAUACCAUCAGAUGUGCCCAGGUGGGAUUAGCUAGUAGUUGGGGUAACGGCUCACCUAGGCGACGAUCCCUGGCUCGUCUGCGAGGAUUACCAGCCACACGGGAACUGAGACACGUUCCAGACUCCUACGGGAGGCAGCAGUGGGGGAUAUUGCACAAUGGGGGAAAGGCUUAUGCAGCCAUGCCGCGUGUGUGAAGAAGGCCUUCGGGUUGUAAAGCACUUUCAGCGGGGAGGCGUUACCCGCAGAAGAAGCACCGGCUAACUCCGUGCCAGCCGCCGCGGUAAUUC